UCUAAACUGUUAGCUGUGUAAGUUCUGCA
rnacentral:piRNA from 1 species